AUUGAACGCUGGCGGCAGGCCUAACACAUGCAAGUCGAACGGUAACAGGAAGCAGCUUGCUGCUUCGCUGACGAGUGGCGGACGGGUGAGUAAUGUCUGGGAAGCUGCCUGAUGGAGGGGGAUAACUACUGGAAACGGUAGCUAAUACCGCAUAAUGUCGCAAGACCAAAGAGGGGGACCUUCGGGCCUCUUGCCAUCGGAUGUGCCCAGAUGGGAUUAGCUUGUUGGUGGGGUAACGGCUCACCAAGGCGACGAUCCCUAGCUGGUCUGAGAGGAUGACCAGCCACACUGGAACUGAGACACGGUCCAGACUCCUACGGGAGGCAGCAGUGGGGAAUAUUGCACAAUGGGCGCAAGCCUGAUGCAGCCAUGCCGCGUGUAUGAAGAAGGCCAUCGGGUUGUAAAGUACUUUCAGCGGGGAGGAAGGGAGUAAAGUUAAUACCUUUGCUCAUUGACGUUACCCGCAGAAGAAGCACCGGCUAACUCCGUG
rnacentral:rRNA from 1 species